UCGCGAAUCUUUCACAAUGGGCGCAAGCCUGAUGGAGCCACGCCGUGUGCAGGAUGAAGGCCCUCUGGGUUGUAAACUGCUGUCAGGUGGGGGGAAAUGCGUAGCGUGAACAGCGUUACGUUUGACUGCCCGCCAAAGGAAGCCCCGGCAAAACAUGUGCCAGCAGCCGCGGUAAUACAUGUGGGGCGAGCGUUGUUCGGAAUCACUGGGCAUAAAGGGUGCGUAGGCGGCAUGAUAAGUCAGCGGUGAAAUCCUGCGGCCCAACCGUAGCAUUGCCGUUGAUACUGUUGUGCUGGAGUGCGUGAGGGGUGGCUGGAACGCGUGGUGUAGCGGUGAAAUGCGUAGAUAUCACGCGGAACACCUAAGGCGAAGGCAGGCCACUGGUACGCAACUGACGCUG
rnacentral:rRNA from 1 species